rnacentral:lncRNA from 10 species
GGAGCCCGAGAAGGCAGGCACAGAAUCCUGGCAUUUGAGUUUCAAAACCACAAUAAGGAAGAAGACAGAAAUUGUUGGACAAGUCCUUGAUCGCUACUGCAGACUACAGAAAGACUCCAUGGGCUGAGGCUGGGAGGUGGGCACAGAGCUGCUGUCAUUGGAGUGAGCACUGUUGUCACCAGCAUCAGGGGACCUGCAAUCCUCACCCAAGAAGUCAUCACUGCAACCCAGCUUCCUGAGGCAGUGUCUAGCCAGAGGGAACCUAGUUCUAACAUCAAGAGUUGGAACCCCGGACAUCAAAAAGGUACUACCCCUGGUCUAGCCUCUUCUUUGUCUCAGGAUCUGACCACUGACGUUUCCAUCUUGCAGUGUGACUGCUUCCCCUAACAUAUUUUCACCCUAAUCUUAACAGAAAGGAGCAAGAAAAAGAAAUGGGACAGUGUUUUGCC